rnacentral:lncRNA from 1 species
CUGUCUGUCUGUCUAGCACCACAGCUCGGGCGCUGCUGCAGAGGGAAGAAAGAUUUGGGGAGAGGGGCUCAGAGACGGGCUGGGGGUGGGGUCUCCCUGGCUGAUUUUGGCCUGAAAAGGAUAGCUCCUUCGGCUUAGGGACUAGGGCUGGGACUGGGUGACAGGUGGGGAAACAGGCACAGAGAGGGCAGUGCCCAUUCCUGAUGUGGUCUGGAGUGGAGCCUGGGCAGGGUGGUACCACGUGGGUGCUUUAGUCUGUGGGCCACAGAGCCUCGAGACAGAGCACAGAGAGGGAUGGCACGGGGACCCAAGGACCGGGACUGGGAGUCCUUUUACCACCUCCUAGUGGGUGCUCUUAAGUCCAUCGUACGUGUUUCAUGUUCCCCGCGACCGGGGCCCUGCAGAGGCCCAGCCGCCGCUGGACUGCAGGAAGUAUUUAUGAGCACAUCUGUGUGCUGCAAUUGUGUGUCUCUAACGGGGGAGGGGGAGGAGGGGAUUUGGUGGUGAUUAUUUAAGGUAGAGGGCAGCAAGGGGAUGGGGGCAGAAGAAGUGCGGCUCCCGCACGGUUACUGUGCUGCUUGUAUAGGAGAGAGGCACGCCCGCCUCAGGGAUGAGAGCGGGUCGGGACCAGAGGCCUGUGGGUGAUUCUCGGUAUCCGCGGGAAGGGAGCAAAGGGAUCCGAGUGGUUUGCGGUCCUUCAUGGUUUUAUUACACAUCGUAGGAGAAUAAAGAAGUUGUAAUGAUGGCCUUGAGUAGAGCAAUUGUGAGACUGUGCUGGACAAAAGACGGUGAUUAAUCCAGGUCCGCUAACCCAACAUCCGCACACAAAAAGCUCUGGGCUAUUUGCUUCCCUUUAAGGGGGCUUUGUGUUCCCUAGAAUGGGCACACUGGGGUUUCUCCUCUGGAGAAGAUCCCCGCUGUGGGGAAGGAAACUGAAGUCCGGCACAAGCCGGGACUGCUGGGCGUCCCCUGUGUAGUUAACAACGAGUAUGGACGCACCGAGGAAGUGAGAGCGCCAACACGCGCCAAUGCGGAGAGCGUGUCUAUGGACAGGUGUUAGGAGCGAUCUGGCUCUACCCAAAGUAGUUGUUAAAAAUAGUGAAACAGACACCCAACUGUGGGUGUGGGUAGGAAGCAUAGCCCCAGGUGUAUUUAAGAAAAGAAAAGUAAAAGGAGUUCCCUGGCGGCUCAGGGGGUGAAGGAUCUGGUGUCGUCAUUGAUGUGGCUCAGGUCACUGCUGUGGUAUGGGUUCAAGGCCUGGCCCUGGAAUUUACAUAUAUACAUGUCAUGGGAAUGGCCAACAAAAAACCAAAAAAGCCCAGAUGUGUGGAACAGUCAUUGGUCCUGGGCUGAAUGGUGCCUUCGUGUGUAUCUGCCUAUGGUCGGAAAUGAAUUAGACGCGUAAAUAAAAUACAGGACGAAAUCAGAGCAGACCAAGUGGGAACCAUCCAAGAUAAGGUUUUACGAAUUACAGAGUAAGAUGAACACGCUUAUGUAGAAUCGUGGACUGUUUAGAGCAACAAAACCAAAGUUCUCACCUCUGGGAAUAAGAAGCAUCGUUUUAUUGUGUGUUGGAGCUGAGUUCAUGUGUGUUCCCUGUAUUUAAAAAAAAAAAAAGUAAAAACGAGAAAAGGGACAAGUAGGAAACAAAGAGGAGAUUACAUCUGGAAUCAAAGCUAAUUAUGGCUUCAGUUCUGAGCCCAUUAGGAAAAAGAUCUGGGCUGGUCCUUCUGUGAGGAGAACAGCAGAGAGACAGAUGCUUAUCAUGGUCAUUAGUCUUGUUUCUGAUUAGGGUGGUGAAUUCAUGCAUGUUGAUUGUAAUAAAUAACAUGAUUAAACGAAAAAAUAUGCCCAGUGAGCGCUGUGCCUGGGCCGGCAGUGAGUCUGUGUCUUGAAGCAAAGGUUGUGAUUUAUCCUGGGUUGCGCAGCCGUUGGCUGUUAGCAAACAUCUAGGUUGAUUCAUCCUUUUUAACAUCUGCCUUGUGUCCCACAGAACGGAGGCCCCAGAGUGGGUCCCCUGACAUGCCGCUGGUGAAGACCGUGGCCGUGACCUCUGUGGGAAACGAGCCAUGGACCAACCAACGUUAUUACAGAAUAUUGAGUCGAUCUCCUUGUGCUAUACAGAAAGAUUCAAAAAGGACCAAGAAUGGCGAUGGGGAGUGUGGAGUUGCAUGAAGACUAUUGGCUGAUCCUUGUGCCACCAGCGAGGUCCCCUGUAGAAAGAUUCUAUUAGGUCUGAGAGAAAUGAACAAAAAUCACAGAUUCAACAUACCCAAUCUGAUUGACUCAGUGAUGAAGCUGUCAGCUGUCAGUAUCCGUGGAUACACAGCCAAGGGACUCACGGUAUAGGAUGAAGAUGAUUUUUAUCUCAAAUGAUUCUGAAAAAGAGGGCAGACGCUGAAGAGUAUGGCGCCUAUGAGGUGGAGGAAGAUUAAUGACUGAUCCUGUUCCACCCUCCUGAGGGCCAUAUAACAAGAUGGGACCUAGUUUCUCCCUGCUUCGAUUAAGUACAUGGAGAUAUGCCAGAUGCCGUACUGACUCCCCUCUUCCACUGUGACAGUCAGAGACACCUCGACAUCGGCAAGUGACCGCUGGGGGCAGUGUUGCCCCCACUGAGAAGCAUCAGGAAUGACCCCAGGACAGCACAUUUACUCAUUUUCUAAGGAACAAAAUCUUAGCAGUUAGCUCUGUGGCUUAAGAACAGAGAGAAAUUUAAUGCAAACACAGCAAGCUGAUCUGAUCCUUCUCUGACUGGGAAGACCCUGACUAUUCUGGGACUUAGGAGAUUAAAGGCCAAGGUGAGGAAGCAUCAGUGUUGGUGUUAUUACACCUGCUUUACCAUAAGGACAAAUCAGGCAAAAGGCAGAAGAGCAGGUGGACGCUAAUGAGUGAACAGAGAAUGGCUGAUUUAAUCAUUUAAUAAAGAAUUGCUAUCAUGAGCGAGCAGCAUAAAGUCUAAUAUAAAGUGAAGACACUGUCGCAUUUGGUCGUUAGCCUGUGAUGGAGACCUUGACCUUUGCCUCUCCGGAUAAAGAGAGAAGCGCUCGCUGGUGACGAUGGUGGCCAUGGCUUCCGUGGGUAAAUCGAGGAACAAAAAGGAUGCUGUUCUUGGGUCAGUGAUGACAGUGAGACUUGACUCGACUUCAUGAUUAACCUAGCACCUCCAACUGAUGUCCUUUAAGUCAGUCUGGACCCUUUGUCCUUCUGAACGUUGCUCCACAGAAUGAAGGUCACGGCUGAUUGCAUCCGUCUGUUCUGAGGAAGAUCUUGGCUGUUACCUUUCUGGAAUGGAUGUGCAAUGAUUCAAUUAAAGACUAUAGAACUUACAGUGGGUGCUCCAGGUCAAUGUAAGCAUCUUCAAGAGUCCUGCUCUCUCUGGCCGCCUCAACGUGUCCGGAACAUGGAGACUGAUAAUCAACGCCUCAGCUGAUUUCAGCUUCUGCCACGAUCAAGACUGUCCUGCUGCCACCGUUUUGUAAAAGACCAAGACUGGACUCAGCGAGAUGACUGGAAAAUUCUCUCAUGGUCACGUUCUCCGUAUAGAGACCAGAAAAGAGCACUGAACUCACCCAAGCCACCACGUUCAGGACGUCAAGGCAGCAUCUCUGUCCAGAACCAUCAAGUCCAAUGGUGGAUGCUCUCAAGCGGGUGCAGACAUUGCCCGUGGCUUCUCCUGUGUGUGAAGAGCUAGCGAGGAAGAACUGAUGCACCUGAACCGAUUAAGCAUUUGGCCAUCACAGGAGCUGCACUGGUGGUCCUGUGUGCAAAAUGGAUCCUCUAAGCUGAUUUCGACUUCUGUGAUUAAGGUUGUCACGUUGCCUCCGUGUUGGGAAAGAGACAAAGGUUUUCUGGAAGGAUUCCUUCAUUGAUAACGAUGUAAGCUGUUUUCAUGGGAAGGGAAGAACAAGUUGGUGCUAGUGAAUGAACUGAAGUGGUGUUAUCCUUCUGCCCUGGCUCUGAACUCUGUGUCAGGAGCCAAGAGACCAAUAGUGGACCUGCCUGAAGGGGUUUAGCGCCUUCCAUGAUGACAAGCUCUUUGGCGGCAUCUACACAGCAUAAGCGUGGAGACCUGGUGUGCAGCCGCCGGACCCGAAGGCAGGCUCCUUCCUGGAUGAGCAGGCGAGGAUGGCAGCGUUGUCUCUGGAUCCAGAAGGCCAGUGGUGGAAGCCGAAGGCCAGGCCAGGCUGCGUGGGGCCGAGACCCCUCCUCUGGCGGUGGUGGCAGGAGAGAUCCCAAGGAGUGGAGCCAUUCCCUGGGGAAGCCCCUGAAAGUGCAACAGUGGGUGUGACAGAGGAGCAGCAAUGGGCUGGAGACCUUCAGGGGCCAGGGACCUCCGUCGUCAAUGUUUGGGUCCCGGCCGGGAUGGACUUGGGUGAUGGAGAAGCCUGGUCCAGUGACUCUUCAGUGGGAAGACCGGGGCGCAGGGAAGAAGGUGUCACGAGACCGGCCUGGUGGAUGCAGGUUAUCUGAUGGAUGGCUCAAGGGGGCCCGGACUCUGUCCUGGCAGGGAUCUGUGUCCUUGUGAAGAAACGGUGGUCCCGUUUAAGGGACUGAGUGCAGCCCAGCCCCAGCCUGACCUUCAACCCCCAAGCCCUGAGGUUCUGCCUCCUUGGGCUCGUAGCAGAAUCACCUGGACCCCGGGGAAGGAGCAGAACCGGCUGACGCUUGAGUCCGCUGAGUGCAGAAAGGGCGAGUCAGUGGCGGUCCUCCUCGCUUUCCCUGUCCCUCUGUCACUGUCCCUGACUCUCUGUCUCGGUGUCUCUGCCUCAGUCUGUCCCUCUUGUCUCUCGCCUGGCUCUCUCUGUCGCCGUACGGGUCUCUUUCCUUUCUGGCAGCUUCGCGUCUGUGUGGUGGGGUGCACACCAGACCCCGGCGAGCCGAUUGGGCCCGUUUCCCUGGUGAGACCCCUAGACGAUUCCUUCAGUGGGGGAGAUGGCCAAGGAAGCAGUGUGGCAGGCAGCCGCCAGGCCCGAAGGCCGGCUCCUUCCUGGAUGAGCAGGCGAGGAUGGCAGCGUUGUCUUUGGAGCCAGGGGACCAGUGGUGGAAGCCGAAGGCCGGGCCAGGCUGCGUGGGGCCGAGACCCCUCCUCUGGCGGUGGUGGCAGGAGAGAUCCCAAGUUUUGUCCUUGGGCCAGGUGUUUGGAUUUCAUUGCCUUAGUCCUAAAUGGAGUCCCAACAUGAAGGACAUCCCUGCGACUGGAGAGCCCUGCCCCUCCGGGCUCACUAGUGGAGGCCCGAGAACAUGGAUAUUCAUGAGGGUCCCUCCGUGUGGAGUGUGUACCCCUCAGAGCAAUUGCACUGGAGAUGCUUUACCAUCUUCCGUACGGACCCGAGCUCUGGGAUUGCCUCUGAACAUACGUGUUAGGACAUGGGAGAGUCACAGGACAUGCUCCCGCUCUUUCGGCUUCUGCUGAGCUCAAGAUUGUCAGGCCGCCUCCGCGCCAGCAAAGAAGCGAAGGAGGGUGCACCGGACCUGAAUGCAGCUUUCUUCCUUGAUGAGCAGGACAGGAGCUCAAAGGGAUGUUGGCCUCCGCUGGGAUGAAGGCUCUCCUCUUGGAGUUGUUCUAGGAGAGACCAAGGGCCACACCCGCGGCAUUUGGAAGUUUCUAGGCUAGGGGUCGAAUCGGAGCCAUAGCCGCCGGCCUACACCACAGCCACAGCAACACAGGAUCCAAGCCACAUCUGCAGCCUACGCCACAGCUCAAGCCACGCUGGAUCCCUAACCCACGGCGCAAGGCCAGGAAUUGAGCUCCCUUCUUCGUGGAUACCAGUCGGGUUUGUUACCGCUGAGCCACAAUGGGAACUCCCCAGCAUAACUGUUUUAAAAAGAUAUAUUACUGUGAGAAUAAACUUACCUAAUAAGGAUAUCAUGUCUUUUCUAGGGUUUUUGUGAAUGAAUGGUUUUAAAUUAUUUUUAGUGAUUUACUGAAUUUGUCAAUAAGCCACAGAGAAAUGAGUGAAGAAAAAGAGGGACUUAUUGGUGGCAUAUGAGGCAUGUACAGUGCAUGUGUGUCUGGAACUCUGAGGUCCAGUGUGGGUGGAAUCUAGUCCAUUGUCCUGUUUGGGGUGAUUCUAGAGACACAUGUCUAGAAAAUACAAGAAACUCGUUUGUGGGUUUUUAUAUUUAUGUACUUUCUUUUGAAAUAAUUGGAUCAAUGAAAUAAAGAAUAAACAACCCAAUAAAUACAUAAAGAUGAAAACAG